ACCUGCGGCGGGCCUCGGUGGGCGGUGCUAGCUGUGGGGUGAGCGCCGUGCCCGCGGGCGUUAGGCGGUGCGUCGGCAAAUGGCGGGUGGCCUCUGCCUUGUCCGACCCGGCCCAGCGGCCAACGCCACUUCUUCCAGGGAAUGAGUGCAGGACAACACACUCUGAAGCUCAGACGUUACAGAAAAGAAAAGUCAGUCUUAUAUUCAGACUCUGCCAAAAUAGCCAGAGACUUUAGAGUCUGUAGGUCUGUUUUGAUCUGAUCUUCAUAUUUUUGAGAUGCUACCUUGAUUAGAGCUUUUCGUGUUUCUCUGAGUUGUGUCAAGAGGAACCUAAGUAGAACGUGGAUGGAGACUUCUGUGAGGAAAGUCAGGCUGAACAGUCUGAAAAAAAGAAAAAAGUCUAGCAUGAAAGGCUGCUUGUUAUGUGCCCUGUGGGCUGCUCUGCCAGAGUCAGAUGUGAGCUGGGGUGAAAUGAUGGUAUGAGAUUGCAGAGCCAUUGUAAACAGGAGUCGUUCAAUGGAAAUGAAGUGAUGCCUGUCAGCAAGAGCAGAAUUCACUGUCAUUAUUGGUACCGACGGUAGUAGGAGGGUCAUGAGUAAUUCUACAGUGCAAUAGAAACAUAAUGCACUUUGCAAGCAGAGGUGUUUUGACAGUUAAGACAAGGAACAGAAAUCAUGUCAACUAGCACCAUGCAGUGGAACACGGGAGGGACUGCUGACAAAGAAAGGAAAUGGACAUAUAAAGGAAGAGAAGGAAUGCGUGUGCUGGAGAACUUCUGGAAUAGGGACCCCUUGCACUGAAAACAUUAACUGAAAGCUGAACUGGCAACUUCUGGUCUUGUUGUCUUCAGGACUGUUCCAAGUGGGGAAUUUUUCUUAGAAAAUCCUUAGCUGAGGAACUCUAAUCACCUGCUGCUUUUCAUUUUCGAACUUUGGAAUUUGUUUUGACUCUUUUCCUCUGUGCCGUGCACUCAACAUCACUUCUUUGUUAUCAGAUAGCCAGAAUGAAAUUUUCGUCUUCAGGCAGUAUUGUUCCAUGAGAAAGAGGAAGCUGUAGGCAGACUCCUGCAGAUAUGACCAAUGCAGCAGAAUUUGAGUUUCUGUGAAGAUCCCAGGUCCUGAAGACUCCCUGACUUGCUUUGUCUCUGUAUGGAAUCUGUGAAAGGCACGGACACAGAGUGCUGUACCUUUUUCCCUUGGCAUGGAAAGAGAAGACACACAGCCAGAAGUUAUCCACCAAGUGAACUUAUAUCUUGCGGUCUAUUAAAUCUCAAGGGUAGAAUAUGCACUGAGCCUGGCAGCCUGCAUGCAGAAGUCAUUUGUGAUCUCCUGAAAAGUUCUGAUGAUCAGAAGAAAAUGAAGGGCAAGUAGCACAUUUUGCCCAUGUCAUUCUAUUCCAUUUUUUGAGCCAUUUCCUCUUCUUCCACCUCUUUUAAACGUACCCAGAUUCAGGCAUUUCAGAUUCAGAGAUUUCAGUAUCUGAAAACAAAAGAUGUACUGCAGUAAAACAAUUUAUUCCACUCUGCUAUAAGCUGUUCUGGCUGCCAUCCUAAAAACUGCAAUAAAGGUGUACAAAAGCAAAGGUUUCAGCAGGCUUUUCCCAUUGGGAAAAAAAAAAAUGCAGCUUUACAUUUUAGAAAUAGCCAGACCUCUGUUCUUCAUCCCAGUUUAAUGGCCAUAGGGAAUCUAGAGAAGCUUUCUGCAACCCAUCCCAAAAAUAAAUGAAUCAAUAAGAAAAGUAAAUAAAUAAAAUAAUAAUCUAACAGGCAACAGAUGUUUAGACUUACUUCAGCUGCAAUUAAAAUAGUCUUUGUGUUACACAGUCUGUUUUAAAACUUCGCAUAGUCCCACCAUUUCUCAGAGUCUGUUCAUGCAUUAGGGCUGGACGUGUAUUUCCUCUUCUUCUUAGGCUCCCUCCCUGAACUCUUCUCUGUUUUAUAUAAAAGCACUUCAGUGAAUGUGCCUGGUUAGCUCUUCUUUGCUUCACCAAAGCAUCAGAUUUUACCAGCUGGUCUCUGCUUUUAUUAUGUUUGGGUUUUUUUGUUUUGCAAUUUCCCUGCUAAGUAACUUCUCAGCAAGUCUACCAAAACAAAUCAAAUGUGGAAGUUCUACAUCAAGUCAGAGCAUGAAUUUUCCUCUGAGUAGUCAAAAAUAAUGUAUUAUUGUCUCACUAUUAAAACUGUUAGCUGUUUUGAACUAUAUUUGCACCAGCGCAGUUGCUUUUUGAUACAGAAAUAUUGUCAGUCUCUUUUUGGAAUGCCUGGAUGUUAGUUUUUAAUUUUGACUACUAUAAACCAAGCAGGGGCAUCUAGCUUGACCGUUAUUACAAAAGAAAAGUAUUUACUUGUCAGGAAGUACUGAGGAGGUAGUAGUUUGCAUAUUAGCUCAGUGGUAGGCAAUAUCACUUGUAAAUCACACUUUUCUAGUGUUCCAGUCCACAUAUCUCAUAUGACAAGUGAACUGAAAGUCUGGAUGUCUUUCAGAAAGGGGCCUGGCGUUUUAUUGUGGGGGAAACAUUCCGGCAAAAUUAACAAAUCCAGUGAUAGAAUGUCUGUUUAACUCAUAAAUCUCUAGAGAAAAUUCAGUUUUAGCCUGGAGCUAUGUUUAUAUGUAUGACAACAAAAUUAGAAUCAAAGCCCCUUGCCUGGCCUAAGGGAAAGGAAAUGCAUCAUGAGAAUUAGGACACUUUCCAACACUAAGGAUUCCUUAUAAUUUUCCAUUGAACACCUCCAGGUUAACAUUGUAGCAACAAGACUCCCACAGUGGAAUGUUAUACAGUCCUUUCUUGAUAAGUGCUACACUUCUAAAGGAAGGAUAUAAAGGUCAAGGUUAGGAGGACUACAGUGAUUUACCAGCAGAAAUCUGUUAGGUGUUUUGAAGGGGGUGUUAUUCAAAUGUCUGCUUUAUUUCUAAACAAUUGACUGAAUUCAGCUGUGUUUUUUUUUUUUUUGAUUGCAAGGUUGCUGGAAAGAAGAGAGCAGCAGAUUCAUUACUGUUGCUAAAAACUGAAUAAAUAAACUUCUCAAAGGGCUUUUCUAGUCCGAACUUCAAAUGUCAAGCUAUUCUGACCUUCGCAACUGAUAAUGCCUUAAUGACACCUGCUAUCACUGCCUCUUUGCAGUGUGCCUCUGAGUGCUACCACGAUCAGCAUCAGCCAAGUUUGUAUCUAGUGGUAUCUGUGGAAAAUUGAUUUCUAUUCAUUAUAAAACAAUUUACCCCUUAGCUAGGGGCAAUUU